UACGGGGGGGGCAAGCGUUGUUCGGAAUUACUGGGCGUAAAGGGCUCGUAGGCGGCCAACUACGUCAGACGUGAAAUCCCCAGGCUCAACCUGGGAACUGCGUCUGAUACUGGAUGGCUUGAAUCCGGGAGAGGGAUGCAGAAUUCCAGGUGUAGCGGUGAAAUGCGUAGAUAUCAUGUGGAACGCCAAUGGUGAAAACAGGUAACUGGGAGUGUGCUGACGCUGAGACACGAAAGCCAGGGGAGCAAACGGG
rnacentral:rRNA from 1 species